GCGGGAGGGAGGGGGGGCGGCGGCGGUUGGUGCAAGAUGUCGCUGCAGCCGAGGAAAGCAUGGGCAUCCCACAUGACCAACUCUCCCACCUUAAUUGUAAUGGUGGGACUGCCUGCUCGAGGCAAGACUUAUGUUUCCAAGAAACUCACACGCUACCUCAACUGGAUUGGUGUUCCCACCAAAGUUUUUAAUCUGGGUGAAUAUCGCCGUGAAGCUGUGAAGACUUACAAGUCGUUUGAGUUUUUCCGCCAUGACAACGAAGAAGCCAUGAAAAUCAGAGAAGAUUGUGCUAGAGCAGCAUUGCAGGAUGUGAAAACUUACCUCACAGAUGACCAUGGACAGAUCGCAGUUUUUGAUGCAACCAACACAACCCGGCAGAGGAGAAAUCUAAUCAUGAAUUUUGCCAGUGAUAAUACAUUUAAGGUGUUUUUCGUUGAAUCUGUCUGUGAUGAUCCAGAGGUCAUUGCUGCAAAUAUCAAGGAGGUAAAGGUUUCAAGCCCCGACUAUGCAGAGGUUGCACAAGACAAAAUAAUGGAUGACUUCCUCAAACGCAUUAAAUGUUACCAAGUUACCUAUGAACAAUUGGAUCCCGAUGAUUAUGACAAAGACCUGUCCUUCAUUAAGGUAAUAAAUGUUGGUCGACGAUUUCUUGUGAACAGAGUCCAGGAUUACAUUCAGAGUAAAAUAGUGUAUUACUUGAUGAACAUUCAUGUCUAUCCACGCACCAUCUACCUGAGCAGACACGGGGAGAGUGAAUACAACAGUUGUGGCAGGCUUGGCGGUGACUCGGGUUUAUCACCACGAGGGAAGCAGUAUGGGGAAGCCUUGCGAAAAUUUGUUGAAGAGCAGAAGAUUCCAGACCUGAAGGUUUGGACUAGUCAGCUCAAACGAACAAUCCAAACGGCAGAGGCUCUUGGUGUUCCGUACGAACAGUGGAAAAUCCUCAAUGAGAUCGAUGCUGGUGUUUGUGAAGAGUUGACUUACAGUGAAAUCCACGACAAAUAUCCAGAUGAAUUUGCACUACGAGACCAGGACAAGUACCACUACCGAUACCCAGGAGGAGAGUCCUACCAAGAUUUGGUCCAACGGGUGGAGCCUGUCAUCAUGGAGUUGGAGCGACAAGGGGACGUUCUUGUAAUUGCACACCAGGCUGUCAUGAGAUGCCUCGUCGCUUACUUUAUGGAUAAAGGAGCAGAUGAACUACCGUAUUUGAAGUGUCCUCUACACACAGUCAUGAAACUAACUCCUGUUGCUUAUGGUUGUAAAAUGGAAUCAAUUUAUCUUAAUGUUGAAGCAGUAAACACACAUCGUGACCGUCCACUGUGUUUUAUGAAAUCCCUGCUUGACGGUAUCUUUCGGAGGAAGAUCAAGUAGAUCAAGUAAUGACCAUACAGCUUCAUACAAGUACAAGUCACCUGCAUGCAAGGGAUUGAAGUUGAAUCUUUCAACAGUAAGCUAAUGUUUCACUCGGUCGUACACGAGAAGAAGCGUUGAGCACUGUCCCUCAUCAUAAAUAACUGGAAUCUACUCGACAAACGUCUGCUGUUACAUCGUGUCAUAUUGGGUCCAGCUAAGCUGCCAAAUAAUGUUGCAAGGGACACGAUCGCCACCCACUCAUAUCAUCCAACAAUGUUGGUUCAGGGCAAACAUUCAUCGUAGUUUGUAUCUCGUGGUGGGAAGGAAAGUAAUUUGAAGGUUGUUCCUGUGAUUGAGUUCAAUCAAAUGCUGUCUACACCUUGCCUGCCUGAAAGAGCAGGGUAGUCAGUUUCCCCGUGUGAGCCAGCAAUCCAGUUGAUGCUGCCCUUUGUGCAGAUGGAACAUGGAAAGCCAUUGCCCUCAAGGGGCACAAAGUGCCGCAGUAGCUCGACGAGUCAGGCAGUAUCGCCAUGUGACCUCAUCCAUCCUUUUCCUCCAGAGAUGCUGUCUGACCCGCUGAGUUACUCCAGCACUUUGUGUCGUUCUUUGGUAUAAACCAGCAUAUGCAGUUCUUUGUUUCCACAUCUUCCCUGAUGAGUUGCCCCUUAAUUUAUAAAUAGAGCUUGAAUUUGUUUGUCUUAUUUAUCAAGAAAACACAUCCAUAACUGGACACUAAAAUAAUUGUUAUUUUAUAGGCAGAGGAAAUGGUGUUAAUAUAUUUUGUAAUACCAAUCAUUGAUUUUGCUUUGAUUGCAGCUAUUUUAACUUGGUUGAGGUGCCCAGACAGUGGGCAAAGAUGUACUUGUGUGUGGACUGGAAUAAGCUUGCCAUGUGUGGCUGAGUUACUAAGGGAGUGGGUGAGGGGAAAACCUUGAGUAAGCAAGUCGUACUGCGUGACUUUACACACGCAGGCGUUAUUUAUUGCCCGGGUCACAUGGUUGUAGUUUUAUUACAAAAGUCAAAUGCGCUUUCCCCUUGCUUUAAAAAAUAUAUAUAUAUAUGAUAUUUUUCAAACAAAACUAGAAUAAAAAACUCUCCUGAACGAACACUAAAAUGAGAACAAAAAAGAACUGAAAAAAUCCUUCAGCAAUAAUUUGUUUCAUCUUGAUUUGGUAAAGUGUUUUUUUUGGGUUAUUUUUCACUGUUAGAAUUUAAUGUAUUGUUAACGCUUAUUAUAUUUGAAACUUUUAAGUUGUAUGGGAAACCAUAAGUUAGUUUGUUGCAGCAGAGAAUAAUUUUGUGUUUAUAUAUAUAUCAGGUAUUUUUGUAUGUCCUUUUAAAUCUCUCCAAGGACUAUGAUGACCUCUGUUCUCAUAGUUUUGUUACAGCCCCGCCAAAUGUAGCCCCACAGAUAAAUGAUACAGCUCUCCAUUGAAUGGAUGAAUAGUCAAGACAAUGUUCAAACAUGGGACACACUUGAACUAUAAUUUUGGACAAUUUACUGGAGCUUUUAGUUUAGUUUCAAAAAUGUUGCUUUCUCCUCUCUCAAAGUAACUGGCAGUGGAGGCGAAUUCACUGGAUGUUUUCAAGAGAGAGUUAGAUUUAACUCUUAGGGCUAACGGAAUCUAAGGAUAUGGGGAGAAAGCAGGAACGGGGAACUGAUUUAGGAUGAUUAGCUGUGAUCAUACUGAAUGGCGUUGUUGGCUCCAAGGGCCGAAUGGCCUACUCCUGCACCUAUUGUCUAUGUGCAUUUGCAAGGCAAUUUGUUUUAAAUGUGUAGAGAAUGGUGGGUGUCUGGAGAGGUGAUGGAAGUCAAUGUGAUACCUGUGGUGUGAACAGGUAGGGAAUGCAGGGAUACAGACCAUGUACAGAAUGAUGGGAUGAGUUAGAAUGGCACCAUGGUCAAACAUAGUCAAGUUGGGCCGAAGGGCCUGUUCCUGCGCUGUGCUGUUGUGUGUUCUAAUUGGCCUUAAUCUUGUUUUGCUAUUGUUGCUUUCUAUUUUACAAUGAUAAUCAUGUUCAGUGGUCUUUCUGCAGAAGUCACAGUGUGGGUGGUGCUGUUCACGUUGUCUGUUCCAUUCCAUUGUGUUUGGGUUUGUCCGUGGUGAUGAUGGUUUCCGUCUGUCAAUGCCAUGGAUGCCAGCGCGGUCACGAGUAAACCAUGCGGCAGCUUGUUCACAACUUGCUUCCCGUGCAUUAAGGGAAAGUUGAAAAGCUGAAAAUGCUGAAUUAGAAACCAAUAAUUGCUCAUCACUAGAUUACUGCUGCCAACUCUCAAUGCAAAGUGGAAGAUAGAUUCAAUACUGAUUCUUCUUCAUUCACUUCCCAGACUUGGGUGGAACAUUUAAAUUCUGAAAUUAAGUGGGAUUACUUUCCGAAUGUACUUGUGCCAAGGCUGAAGCUUUAAAUGGCCAGCAGCCAGUGCUGGCUUUAGCAGUCCUGCAUCUCUUAGCUCAGCAGCAGUGCAGAGGAGCACUCCCUCCGUGGGUCAGUCCGAGUGUUACGUCAGGAUUCAUAAAACCUGCUCUUGUUGCACCCUGAUUGGGAAGAUCUUGCUCCGCGGGUGGGAAUUAUGGGAUGAAGCUGGGUCCGGUGUGUGAGGGAGUGAGUACCUGCAGUAUGCUGUGUAUGUUGCCAGGAGGAGCAUGCAAGCUCAAUACCUUGGACUUGGCCAGUGACUACCUCCUGCACAAUUACUGUAUUAAUCUCGAUCAGGUAACACAUUGAUUGGUAUUUUGCUGCUCUACAACUAGUGUACGGGUAAGGGGCAGCACGGUGGCGCAGCGGUAGAGUUGCUGCCUUACAACGGCCGAGACCUGGGUUCCAUUCUGAUUAUGGGUGCUACUUGUGUGGAGUUUGCAUGUUCUCCCUGUGACCGUGUGGGUUUUCUCCAGAUGCUCUGGUUUCCUCUCACAUCCCAAAGACAUGCAGGUUUGUAGGUUAACUGUAAAAUUGUCCCUAGUAUCUAGGGUAGGACAACUAUAUAGAUAGAUAGACAGCCUUUUAUUGUCAUUCAGACCGAAGUCUGAACGAAAUUGCAGCAGUCAUACAUAUAAUACAAUACAAUAAAACAACAAACACAUAUUAACAUCCACCACAGUGAGUCCACCCAGCAUCUCCUCACUGUGAUGGAGGCAAAAGUCUUAGGUCUGCAGUCUCUUCCCUCCUCUUCUCCCUCUGCGCUGGGGCGAUACCCCCCCCGGGCGAUGUUAAGAACAGUCCCGCGGCUCAAACACCGCGGCCCGGGGUGGUUGAAGCUGCCGCCCACCAGUCCUGCAGACGCAGCCGCUGGCCCGCCCGAACCCCGGACUCAGGCCACCGUCUCAGCCACCCUCACAUGAGUACCGUACUGUCUUCAGCCUCGGGCUGGGCCGCCCCGACUUGGGCGUUGCUUCUCCCCCCGGACCGGGCCGCCCCGACUUGGGCGUCGCUUCUUCCCGGGGCUGGGCUGCCCCGACUUGGGCGCCGAACCUCCCUCGGGCUGCCAGCGCCGCACCUUCCCGAGCUCGGCCGCUCCGACGGGAGCCUCGUUCCACCCUCGGGCUGGCCGCCCUCACGGGAGCGUCCCAACCUCUUCCAGCCCUGAGCUGGACCACCCUCACGGGAGCGAGCUCAGGGCGAGUCCUGACGGUGCUCUGCCUCCGGAGCCUCGAGGUCGUCAGCUCCAUUUGGCCUCAGCACAGACGGAGGCAGAGAAGGGGAAUACGACAAAAAGGUCGUAUUCCCCCGCAGGGAGAGACUGCAAACCCCGUUUCAACCCCCCCCCCCCCAAAACACAAACUAAAACCAAAAAACUAGACUAACCAAACAAAAUAAACAACAUAAAAAAAACACAAAACAACGGGACCGCCGGUAAGCCGCUGCAGCCAGAGCCGCGCCGCCACUCCGAUAGGUUAUCGAUGGUUGGCGUGUGACUCGGACAAGGAGCAUAUUUCCACGCUGUAUCUCUGAAAUAAACUAAGCUCGAGUUGAUUUGUACACCUAACACUGCAGUAUGUUUCUAGUAAGUUUGAAUUUGGAUUGAAGUGAAUAUUUUAUUGUCACAGUGAAAGUCUUUGCUUGCCUACUCAAGGUAUGUAAAUAGUCGCCCAUGAAGGGCACUUACAAAUUUGCAUUGUUCACAAAUAUUAACUUUCCUUCUAGGCACUUUACAAACCUUCCUGACAACUGCUGCUAGUGAUGUUACAAACGUGGUUGUGCUGCUUUUAAAGUUUGUGGCUCUUUUUCUCUUUGGUACGAUUGUUGAAAUGAACAAAAUAUUGCUGUUCUGUGAGGGAAUAAAAGCUAAAAUGACUUAAUUCAUGGCAAUCGGGGAUUAGUUUAGUGCAAUCUUCUUUGUUGCACCCAAAACUAAAUGAAAUGGGAAAGCAGUUCAUCAUGGUCAAACUGGCUUCAGGGUUUGGCUGACACUCUGAUGGCAUUGUGGUUAGGGGAACACUGGACUCUCUUAGAGACACAAGUUCAAAUCCCAGCAAGGGGCUGGUAUGAAAUCUGAAAUCUUGUAAGCAUCAGAGUCUCAGUAAGACACAAUGCUGGAGGAACUCAGCUGGCCAGCCAAUGGGAAUGAAUGGACAGGUGAUGUUGCAGGUUUUGUGGAGGGACUGGUCAGAUUUCUUCAGACUGAAACUCUGUGUGCCCAUUCCUUCCACAGAUGCUUCCUGACCUGCUGAGUUCCUCCAGCACUUUGUGCUUUGCUCAAGAUUCCAGCGUCUGCAGUUCCUUGUGUCUAACAUGAGGUUUAUUUAUUCAUGCAAAGGAGGGGGUAUUUUGGGAUUGUCUACCCUAAGCUCUGUGGGGACUUGAUCACUGAGUUUCAUGUGGUCAACAGGUUUCUUCUCUUCUUGCGAAUGAAACAUAAAUAAGCCAAAGGAAUAGUUAGAUCUCGCGCCGGGUGUUGAGCAGCCAGGUUGUUGUGUCUGUUGGCGUCAAUGUCUGCCAGGCCCUGACACAGCUCCAUGUGGUGGGUGGGUGGGUAGAGCGGGCACCCAGAGAUGACAUGGUUGGCUGUCUGUUGUUCUGCUCCACAUUCACAGGCUGAAAUGCCCAACAGGUUUCUGGAUGUGCAGGAAAUAAAGGGAUUUGGCAGUGGACAGAGACUGUAGCUGAGGUAGAGGAUCAGGCAAACUCUCCCAGAGGACCAGACUCCAUUCCAGUUCCCCAUUUUCAUGUUCUCAGAUUAAAAAUGGUCUCAAUAAAUGUAACCAUGAAGUAAGAAUCUCCAGAAACCUGUUUGGUUCACUGAUACCUUUAGACAAUGAGCGCACGGUGACGCAGCGGGUAGAGCUGCUGCCUCACAGCGCCAGAGACCCGGGUUCCAUCCUGACUACGGGUGCUGCCUGUACGGAGUUUGUACGUCCUGUCCUCCCUGUGACCUGCGUGGAUUUUCUUCUUCAGUUUCCCCCCACACGACAAAGACGCACAGGCUUGUAGGUAAAAUGGCUUGGUGUAAAAUGUAAGAUCAUCCCUUGCGUAGGGUAGUGUAAUGUGCUGGUUGGCACGGACUUGAUGGGCCGAAGGUCCUGUUUCUCGUUGUAUCUCUAAACUAAACUAUCUAGUGUGUAGGAUAGUGCUAGUGUACAGGGUGAUCGCUGGUAGGUGUGGACUCGGUGGGUCGAAGGACCAGUUUCCGUGCUGUAUGUGUAAAAUCUAACAUCCCUUUUCAAGUCUACAAUAAAGUUACCGUCCCUUUCCUGGCAGGGCCAGUCUUAUUAACUUAUUGUACCGUACCAAACUAACCUGGGCAAACUGAAAUCCUGCUGGUUGUGAAUUUCGUGUCAUCCAGUGUGUAUGUGUGCGGCAAUCUCAGCUGCCUCGACCCGAGGGAAGGCAAUGUCCAAACGCACAACGUACUGACUUGUAAAGUCGUGUACAAAUUACUGCACAAUUUGUAAAUAUAAUAUUGUGACAAAUAUAAAUGUAACAGUGAAAUAUAUCUAGUUUCUAAUGGUUGAAGGAUUUUAUGUUGAAUAAUCCAGUCUGGUAAAGUGAAUUAAUUUCUAAGGGAAAUGUUCAAAUGAAGAAGAAAUGUUAGUUUUGCACAAACAUGUGGAAAAAUUAUUUAUGUACAAAAUCCCUUCAUUUUAAUGUAAUGAUUUGGUGAAGAUUUUAACUUCAUAUUUUUCUGGAAGAAUACAAAUCUGUGGGGUGUUGGUGAUUGACAGAUAUGAUUGUACUUUAUAGUCUGUGAUUUGCUUGAUUUUUAUGUGUCUAAAUCACAAAGGGAAUAUGUUAAUCACCUGAAAAUAAAUAAAUUAUCUUCUGUGUGGAAGUAA